GCCAUUCUUGAUAUUAGAUGCUGGAGCCCUGUAGAGAAUGAAGUCUAGAGAAUGAAGACUGAAGAUUGGAGAGAACGGUGAUGCAGAAAAUCAAAAGAAAGGAAAAGGAAGUUAAUGUGUAGAACAGAACUAGGUUAGGCUCCGCCCCUGCAUACCUGCGGCCAUUCAUAAUCUAGUGGAAAUAAAAGGGGAGAGUAACGAGCGAAGAGGGGGCCUGAGUUUGCACUAUUUCCACACAGAACUCCAGUCAGCAGGUCACGGCCACUACCCCUGGCUUAGCUUCCAGUGAGCGCGGCACCCACUGGAGGGAAGCUCUUUCUUCCUCUCUUCCAUCACAUUCGUGUUGACGUUUUGUACCGAACUGAGCUUCAUGUGUGCGUCUUGCCCAGGUGUUGCUGAUCGCUAUGUUCUUUUUGGUUUCCAUUGUAUUCUCCUUUUUGUUCAGUGUUGUGUGUGUUCAUGAAUGGUUUAGGGAAGUAACUAGUUGCCUGUGAUGCGUGAGUGCAGUUAAUUAAUUAAUAAACUGAUAAAACUGUC